AACGUAGGUUCCGAGCGUUAUCCGGAUUUACUGGGCGUAAAGCGCGUUCAGGCGGUUUGGCAAGUCGGGCAUGAAAUCUCUCGGCUCAACCGGGAGAGGUUGUCCGAUACUGCUGGACUUGAGGGCAGUAGAGGGUGGUGGAAUUCCGGGUGUAGUGGUGAAAUGCGUAGAUGUCCGGAGGAACACCAGUGGCGAAAGCGGCCACCUGGACUGCACCUGACGCUGACACGCGAAAGCUAGGGGAGCGAACGGG
rnacentral:rRNA from 1 species